UACGUAGGGUGCAGGCGUUAAUCGGAAUUACUGGGCGUAAAGCGUGCGCAGGCGGCUCUUUAAGUCAGAUGGGAAAGCCCCGGGCUUAACCUGGGAAUUGCGUUUGAAACUGGAGAGCUGGAGUGUGGAAGAGGGGGGUGGAAUUCCAGGUGUAGCAGUGAAAUGCGUAGAGAUCUGGAGGAACACCGAUGGCGAAGGCAGCCCCCUGGGCUAACACUGACGCUCAUGCACGAAAGCGUGGGGAGCAAACAGG
rnacentral:rRNA from 1 species